rnacentral:miRNA from 1 species
CUCUCACACACACACACACACACACACCCCUUGCUUCACGUGUGUAUAUAUAUAUAUAUAUAUAUAUAUAUAUAUAUAUAUAUAUAUAUACAUGUAUGUGUGUAUGUGUGUGUGUGUGUGUGUAUU